AACGAACGCUGGCGGCAUGCCUAACACAUGCAAGUCGAACGGAUGGCUUCGGCCAUCAGUGGCGCACGGGUGAGUAACGCGUGGGAAUCUGCCCAGCAGUGGGGGAUAACCUUGGGAAAC
rnacentral:rRNA from 1 species